UUUCAGCCGUUGACGCACUGCGUGGUAAGCCAAGACAUAUUUUAAGGGCUUGGGCUUGAAUGCUCUGAAUCGUACGCAGGUUAGUCUUACAGCAUCAAGAAAUGCAGAAAUCC
rnacentral:lncRNA from 1 species